rnacentral:rRNA from 1 species
AAUAAACGCUGGCGGCGUGCCUAACACAUGCAAGUCGCACGAGAAAGGGACUUCGGUCCCGAGUAAAGUGGCGCACGGGUGAGUAACGCGUAGGUAACCUCCCCCCGGGGUUGGGAUAACAGUGCGAAAGCGCUGCUAAUACCGGAUACGACAGAGAGACGGUGGUUUUUCUGUGAAAGCGGGCCUCUCGAAGAAGCUCGCGCUCGGGGAUGGGCCUGCGUCCUAUCAGCUAGUUGGCAGGGUAACGGCCUACCAAGGCGACGACGGGUAGCUGGUCUGAGAGGAUGAUCAGCCACACUGGCACUGGAACACGGGCCAGACUCCUACGGGAGGCAGCAGUGAGGAAUUUUGCGCAAUGGCCGCAAGGCUGACGCAGCAACGCCGCGUGGGUGAUGAAGGCCUUCGGGUCGUAAAGCCCUGUCGGGUGGGAAGAAAGUGCGUGGGGUUAACAGCCCUGUGUAUUGACGGUACCACCAGAGGAAGCACCGGCUAACUCCGUGCCAGCAGCCGCAGUAACAC